rnacentral:lncRNA from 1 species
AAGCUGCUAGAGGGAGCGGCGGGCAGCGGACGGCGGGAAAAGGAGACUUACCUCGGUAUUCCUCCAUACGCCCCCCUUGAUCAUAAUUCGAGGCAUCUUGGCGGCAGGGUGUCUCGGCAAGCAGCCGAGAGGAGCUUCAGAGAAGUAGUAACAGCGAUUGGGCCACCGGACUCAAAGCCGCCACUUCCUCCAAGCGCGACCUUCUGCUUUGAAGAUCUGCGCAAGCGCAAGGUCUUCGAGAUUUUAACACUGGAGCAUAGAGGAGGUCAGUCUCUACUGACUGCUGAACAUCCAACACGUGACACCCAGGAGUUGUCUACCACCAUGUUUUGGACUAAGGGAAAAAAGCAGAGUCACUGAAAUUAAAGCCUGUAAGAAGCUGUCAGAUGAAAAAAUCUGUUUCUCCCUGUUGAGAGUUGAAUUGUAUUCCCCCCAAAUAGAUAUGUUCAAGUCCUAACCCCUGCUACCUGUAAAUGUGACCUUAUUUGGAAAUAGAGUCUUUGCAGAUGUAAUCAAGUUAAAAUGAGAUCAUACUGGAGUAGGUUGUCCCUAAAUCCAAUGAGUAGUGUCCUUAUAAGUGGAGAAGAAAAAAGAUACAGACACACAGGGGGAAUAUCAUGGGAAGAAAGAGGCAGAGAUUGGAGUGAUGCAGCUCCAAGCCAAGGAAUGCCAAGGAUUCUGGCAGCCACCAGAAGCCAGGAGAAGGCAUGGAACACAUUCUCCCUCUGAGCCCCAAGAAGGAGCCAGCCCUGCUGACACUUUGAUUUUGGACUCCCAGCCUCCAGAACUGUAAGAGAAUACAUUUCUCUUGUUUUAAGCCACUUAGUUUAUUGUGCUUUCUUGUGGCAGCCCUAGGAAGCUAAUACACUCCUUUGUUAAUACAGCAGAUCCUUGAAUAACAUCAUUUUGUGCAAGAUCGUUUCAUGAUAACAUUGAUGAGUCCAGGCAUGGUGGCUCAUGCCCGUAAUUCCAACACUCGGGGAGGCCAAGGCAGGAGGAUUGCUUGAGCCCAGGAGUUUG